GGCUCCUUGGGAUAGAUGGGGAAGCUGAGGCCCAGAAGGGGGCUGAGACCACCUCCCAGUUUCCCCAGUGAGGUGGCGCCUGAGCCACGGCCAGGCCCGGCCUCCUUCCACCCGGCCCUGCUGUGCGCGCGGCGGGUGCUGACCUGGCGAGGCCGGACAGGGGACCAGGUCGGGGUGACCGUCACUGACACCUGGACAGUCCUCGUUGUGUUCGGGGUGGGAAGCCCACGGGGGAAGAGUGUAUCACAGCCAUUGGGAACUUUCUUCACCCAUCAAAGCCUCAGGGCUGAAGCAUCCUGAACAAGAACUCAGGAGAGUGAAAGAAACAGUUACCUGUCGGCUGCAGCUGGUACCAGCUCCCCACCCCGUACAGAGACCGAAGCGUCCUCUCUCUCCCCAUCACCCAGCACCAGACUCUGCCCCGCGACCUCAGCCUGCACCUGCUUCCUGGCUCCAUCCAGCCUUCCAGCCUCACUAGAUCAUCAUGGGCCACUGGCCAACACACAGGGCAGUGCCGAGCCCAGGCCGUGGUCACACAUGGCUGGGUUAGUAGCUGAAAACAUUGUUUUUCACUGGCCUCACAGUAAUGGCACCUGCCCCCAUUUUCUGUGAUUGAAUUUUUGGAUCCUGCUACCAGGUUAUGAUAGAUUUUAUGGUAUGUCUCAAGAUAUUGAGAUAAAGGUAAUAAAACAGCUAUAAAGUCC
rnacentral:lncRNA from 1 species